rnacentral:lncRNA from 1 species
UAAUUUUUAUUUUGUGGGAUAUUUUUAUAAUAAUUAACCUUAAAUACCAGGUCGUACAGUAGAAUAAUUGACAUAUUUUCUAAUAGAAAUUGUAAAACAAUUAAUAUAAAACGGUACUCUGUUUGUUUUUAGGAAAAAACAAUCGUAUAUUCUUUUCUUGUAUUCAUCACACAGUUGUCUUCGAUUCACCACAAUCUUAUAAUGCUUCACAUCUUUCCUUUUUAAUGGGAAAUAUCCAGAAUGAGAUGCGUGUCCAGAAAUUAGAGAAAGAAAAAUAUAGAAGUCUAUAUAGAAGCCAAGGAAGGCUAGAUACAUGGAAUAGUCGUGAUUUUUAUUCCUUUUUAUGGAUCUACAAUUGCAGUAGGAAAAAAAAGGAAGAAUCACUAUUCUUGUUUUCCUAUAAACUCUAAUACUUAAUUCUAAGCAGCGUGCCUCCUCAGUCCAAUUCAAUUUUUCAUUACUUUGACGAGGUCUAAUUAUUCCUUACGCAUGUAUUGCACCUGGCUGCAUCAUUGGCCAACCGGGAUGGAUAAAACCUCCCGACGUUUCUACUCAUCGUCUGAUCCGACUGGGCGAAGACAAUGGAUUUAUUCCAUUAAAAAAGUCCGGGACAAUUAGGAUUUUCAAAAAGGUUGAAAAAAAGUAUUAACAUUGUGUUCUCUUCAUUUCCGGCCCGAAGAUUGAAUCUAUGAAUGAAGAGAUAGGAAAAAGAAAGGGAUACCCCAACUUUCCUAGUUAUCUAAACUAGAACAUAAGGAAGAAUACGAAGAAUACGAAGAAUAUCUACAUCAACAACAUAUCUACCUCGAUUGGUCGUCUCAAUAAAGAAAAAAUGAGACUUGAAUCACGUGAAAAAUGUCUUUUUUGAGGCGGACAAAAUUCCUUCGUUCAAUGUUCGUUGUAUCUUUCUUCAUCACUAAAAGAAAGGAAUAUUCAUAUUCCAAAGCUCUUGGAGUUUACCAAGUUAUUCAAAACUAAUCAAGAAAAAAUAAAUAUCCUUCAAUUUUGUGAGACUCAAAUAGGACUUCCUAUGCUUGAACGUGGUAUUAUCAUCAUCAUAAAAGAAGACCUCUCUUUUCAAGCUUUUUUGAAAGCUUCAAUUUUACCAUCUAAUCCCUUUCAACAUCUAUGCAAUCGAUCACUCUCGGAGUUUUCCCAAGUUUCGAACAUUGUGUUAUUCUUAAAAAGCAUUCAAGCCCAAAACCAGAAAUUUAUCAUCAAUAAUGCAUUGAAUAGACUAUGUGGAAAGUAAAUGAAGCUGUCUCUCGAGGAGAAAAAAAUUGAACUGGAAUUUGUUAUGGAGCAAGAAAAUUUGGCUCUAGGAGUGAAGAGAUAUUCCCCAAGCUUAUUAGGAGCUUCUGCAGUAUUUAAAACAACUUCUUCAGCUUGUUAUAAAACUUUAUAUAAUGAGCCAUUUGUGAGUUUUUCUUCUCCAAGGACUCUUGACCAUUAGAUGCAACCUUUAAGUCAGUAAAGGAUUUCACCUGCAUACAAAAGCCUACUUAAGAAGAAGAGUUCAAGAAAUGAAGAAUCGUGAAUGGGUUAUCAUACUCCUUCUUGAUGAAGUUUAUUGUGCUCAGAGAGUGGAGUGUCCUGGAGGCAAGAUAUCUGGAUUGAGUGAUAGUGGCAUCUUGUAGACCUUAAGGCCAAGAUUUUUUCUUUACUAUUCGGUCCAUGGUCUUCUGCUGACGUUGAACUCCAUGGAGAGGCCACCUUGCCUCUCUUGUCCUCGAGAUACUUUUUCACGGCAGUAACCAUUUCAUCCGACCUUCGAGUUCUUGACUUAGAUCUUGUAGUCGCCUCAGGAGUCCCUUUGGUUACCACGCUGUAAACGGUGGUGUGGCUGCAGUUCAGAACCUUGCCAAUUUUAUUUGCUACUCUCAAUAUUAUCGGCUGUUGUUUCGCUGUUGCUAUUUAGAUUUUGCUGGAGUUUAGUUUAAACUAGUCUAGACCCUUGCCUUGAAGUAUAAAGCGGUUUCAACUCAAUAAAAUCACGAAUAUGUGCAUGGCGUAAAAUUUAAAAGAGUUUUCAGUUUUUUGGACGUGCACACCUGUAUAACAAUUGGAGGAUCUCGAAAUCUUUUCUUUUACCUCAGUUUCGCUCUCAAGACAUGGUAUGACCCCAAUUCAGUCAUAUAGAAGAACUUUACCACAUCGAACAUAGAAAAGAACAAAAAUCUUAUUAACGGAAAAAUGUCUUACACCCACAACUUUUAAAGAGUACAUUGGUCCAACUAGCCAAUUCAGUGUUUUACGAAAGUACAAUCUUCGGAUUGGAAUCGUAUUCCAAUCAUUAGUUCCCUUAUUUCAGGCUGACUGUUCCUCUUCUACGUUUAAUUAGAGAAUGGUGAAACCGCCUUAAUGUUAAAGAAUUUAGUGCCGCAUAGAGACUCUAUAUAUCAUCAUCCUCCACAAUAACUUUUCUUCGAGAUUUUUCUAUCUAUCUGGAAGAAUGGGAAUAUAUGGCCUCAGAAAAGAAGAAAAAAAAUAUUUGUAAUUGUAAUAUGAAAAAAUUUGUAAGUCCAAAAAUGAUAAAGUGAGUCUUAA